UACGUAGGGUGCAGGCGUUAAUCGGAAUUACUGGGCGUAAAGCGUGCGCAGGCGGUUUGCUAAGACAGGUGUGAAAUCCCCGGGCUUAACCUGGGAACUGCGCUUGUUACUGGCAGGCUUGAGUGUGGCAGAGGGGGGUGGAAUUCCACGUGUAGCAGUGAAAUGCGUAGAGAUGUGGAGGAACACCGAUGGCGAAGGCAGCCCCCUGGGUCAAGAUUGACGCUCAUGCACGCAAGCGUGGGGAGCAAACAGG
rnacentral:rRNA from 1 species